rnacentral:rRNA from 1 species
GGAUGCGAUCAUACCAGCACUAAAGCACCGAAUCCCAUCAGAACUCCGAAGUUAAGCGUGCUUGGGCGAGAGUAGUACUAGGAUGGGUGACCUCCUGGGAAGUCCUCUUGAUGCAUUCC